UGUAAAUAAAGAAAACAGAGGAAUUCCAGACAUCAGUCAAUCAGAGCCAGCUAACACCUCCCAACAAAGGAUUCCCCCAAGCAGUAAGCAGCCAGACCUUGAAGAUGAAAGGCUAUUCAAUGCUAAUCAAGGUGACCAACUGCAACACACUUGCCUCAGUUAGAAAAAAAAGUUGUUUCUCCCACCCUGAACAUUCCACAAAUAUAAGCUGCUUAGAGAAUGAGGACCUAUGAUCUUCCAGAUGUUCUUGGAUACCAACUGCCAUAAACCCAAACUAGCAUGGUGAAUGGUAAGGAAUGACAGGAAUUUUAGCCCAACAAUAACCACAAGGAUGCUAAAGGGACAGUCCAGUGACUGAUCGUCACACUGCCCAUCAUACAACAUCACUGGACUUCCUGUUGAAGCCCAGAAAUAGAAAUAUCAGUUGUGAUCUUGGCUUGGGAAUGGGCACCGUGGAAACAUUUCCCCACAAGAUGGCAUUAGUAAUCUGAAGAAAGUAGAUAAGAAGGCCAGAAGAUCUUGCUUUAAAGAUGGAUGUCUUUAGGCAGCAACUGUAGCUUAAUUUGAUGGAAAAGAUCAUAUCUCAAAAUCAUAACCUACAGCCUUGUUUUGAAGAAAGGAUGGCUUGGGACUUCUAGAUGCUGCUUUUGAAUCCACAUGGGCUGUCUUCACAAAGCAGGGGAAGAAGAGAGAAUGAAGGAAGCUGGGCAAACAAUUUGAUCAAUAAAUAUUCAGAUUUUAUAAUACUGUAGACAAUUGGCCAGUCAUCAAAACUUAUCUGUGUCUAUGCUCAUGAUGGGACCUGAAGAUCUCAGUCGGUAUGGCUUCAGUGUUUUAAAAUUCUUACAAUUUUAGUGUAAGGUUCUGUGCUUCUUGUCCCAUGCAGUGAGGUGGAGAAGAAUUCGAACUACAUAAGCAAACACAUCUUUAGGAUUUUUUUCGUUGUUGUUGGUGGUGGUGCGAUAUAUCCCAGAAUAAUAAUUAUCAUAAGUCUCAGCCUCUAGAUAGGAAUACAGUUUUGCUGUUUGUGUUAGGGAGUUGCUUCUGAAUGUUCUGUGACAUGAGAAAUAUCAUGCUUGUUUUAAAAAAUCUUGCAAGCAACAUUUAGAGCAGCCCAAAUGAAAUUUUCCUCUCUCUUCCUGCUCCCAGAUGAAUCUGAAGCAGCUAGUUAUAUUUUCAUGCAUGCUCCCUCCUUACUCACAAAUAGAGCAGUUAGGAAGUUGUUCCCUAUAAUAUGUUAUUAAUGUAAGGCUAUGAAGAUCACAAAGUUACAGUAAUGCAAUGAAUCCAAGGUAUAAGAAGAAAAGGGCUAGAUCAUUGCAUUCUAUGGCAAAUGGCCACUGGGUUGCUUUACAGUAUAAGAAAUUAUCUGUAAUUAUAUAUGUAUAUAGAGCAUUCUAGGUGAGACAAUUUUAUCAGAAGUGUUCAACUAUCAUGAAUAUAGAGUGGGUUCUUGGUAUCUGCUAGAAUUUCAUCUAGGACUCCUACAGGUACUUGCUGUAAGCCACCCUGAGUUCCUUCCGAGAGAAGGGGCAGGAUACAAAUAAAUUAUUAUGAUUAUGAUUAUGAUUAUUAUUAUUGACACAAAUACAGAGUAUGACACAGCAAAUUAGAUAUAUAUGCUGGAUUUCGUAUCACAAAAUCACAAGUCGAACACUUCCCAAGCGUUUAGGACUGUGUAAUGUAUUUUCGGAUGAUGCACGCAGAUCCCAGUAAGGUGGCCUUUUGCAGUUGACAGAUUGUAAUUUUGUCUAUGUUUAUUGUUGUUGUUGUUUUUGUUGUUGUUGUUGUUGUUGUUGUUGUUGUUGUUGUUGUUAUUGUUAUUAUUGGCACUAAAAUCCACAUACUUCCUUAGUCCCAUUAUAGUAAAAUGGGGUCCCUUAUAUCAAAUGGCAAAAUGAAGGGGUUUUUAUUUAUUAUUUUUUAAUAUUUUAAAAAUGUGGAUGAUUAAAUCUGUGGAAACAGAAUCUGUGGAUACUUGGAGCUAAUUGAAUGUAAAUUUUAAAAUCAAACUCAUAAUAGACUUCUGAUUUAUUUCAUCUACCAAAACAGAAUAGAAUUCAAUGACUGAUUAACAGGUUACAAGGAAGUUUAAUCAAUAACUAGCACUUCAGACUGCUAGCCAGUUCCCUGGAUAGUACCAUAGAUCAUGUUAAGCAACAUUUGUGAGCAGGGAAAUCCCCUCUGGAAUUAUGAGAAAUGAUCCAACCAGAUGAAAUUUACACCAGACACUUUUGCUGCUGGGAACAGGAGUCCUCUAUCAGAUGUUCUGUACUCAUUGCCCUCCAGUAAAGGCCUGAGGCCAGAAGUGCUUUCAGUGAGGAUAAAAUCAAGACACAGAAUACUUUUUGUACAAGGAGAAUAUAGAAUUUAAACAAGAGAACAAUUGAUUGUAGAGGGUUUUGGUUUUCAGUGGUUUUCUUGUUUACAGACAAUGGAGAAAACAAGUAAUUAGUUGGUUUUGAACUGAGUAAAUCGAAAUUUGAGUUGCAAUUAUGUGUGUUGUUGAACAUGAACCACCCACAGCUCAAAAUAUUAAAAUGGUAAAGUUAGUAUCACAGCAGAGAGUUCCGAAGAUAGCGGGAGCCUGCAGUUCCAUGAAUUCGCUUGCGAAUGCAUGAAGAAGCCCAGCAGCAGCUAUCGGCAUCUAGGAUAUACUCUGAUAAUAAUCUUCCCCUUUUUAAACUAAUUAUAUUGUUUCUAACACUUAAAUAAACAUAGUUAGCCUCAAUUGCUGCCUCUUUAUAUCUCCUCUCGCUUUUUGAGUCCUUUAUCUCUAGUUUCUGCCUUCAGCAGCUGACCCAGUGGCCGCUUGGGCUAUAUGACCCUCGUGGCCCCCAUGGCCCUGGAAUGGGGUGCACUCUCUCCCCCCCCCCAAAUAAACCCCACCCUCUCACCUCCCUGAAUGCCUUCACCAACCUCCCACCUCUGUGGGUGCCCUGAUUCUUUAGGUGGGAGCCCUGGUACUCACAGAUAUUUAUUUUUCCCUUUUAGUAUGUAUAAUUUAUACAGGACUCUCUCCUGCUUUCCCUGCGUUCACUUAGCCUUUGCCCCAAUAACCUUGUAUCAACUCUAACCUGCCCCAUGGAUACCGAGACAGUCAUCUGCAGGAUUCCCCUGGUAUCCAUGGAUCUUCUGUGUAUGUCUUCCCUUCCCCUGGGUGUCCAGAUACUAUCCACAGGGUUUCCCUCGGCGUCCAUGGACCCUUCUCUCUGUGUAUAUUUAAUGUGUUCUGUUUUAUAUCAUUAAUACAAAAAUCCUUUUGGAGAAGUAUGCCACCAACUGAGACCUCUAGCUGACCUUUCGCCAGCACCUCAUGCCCCGGGAAGUUCAUCCAGCUGUCUUCUUGGGCUUCAUCUACAUAUGAAGGACUCAGUCACCCAUCACCUUUGGCCCAGUCCAUCUCUACUGAUCCCAUAGACCCCUGACUGUGCAGAGGAUGACAUGAUCCAUUCGCAGGGCCACCCAUCCUUUGUCUCAGUCAUCUGGACAUUACAUCUAACAUGACUACUAGUACGCCAGGAAGUCAUACCCCAUUCUCCAACAGAUAUUUCCACAUUCCCAGGAACAGACCUCUUAAUCCUAUCAGCAUGGACAAUAUUUCUGCUUUUAGACUCACUGGAAAGCAGUGCCAGAGGCACUGGACCCAUUCUCUGGGAACUCAUAUUGUUAUCUUUACAAUAAAACACAUGGGACCUGAUGGCCUCCUCUGUUUGUCCGUUGGCUGGGAC